UACGUAGGGUGCAAGCGUUGUCCGGAAUUACUGGGCGUAAAGCGUGCGCAGGCGGUGAUGUAAGACAGUUGUAAAAUCCCCGGGCUCAACCUGGGAACUGCAUCUGUGACUGCAUCGCUGGAGUGCGGCAGAGGGGGAUGGAAUUCCGCGUGUAGCAGUGAAAUGCGUAGAUAUGCGGAGGAACACCGAUGGCGAAGGCAAUCCCCUGGGCCUGCACUGACGCUCAUGCACGAAAGCGUGGGGAGCAAACAGG
rnacentral:rRNA from 1 species